UCCUAUUGGUAUAUGCUAAAGCGAAAUUAAAAGAAGUGCCUGUAAAAUAAUCCCUUUUCAGAUAAUUCAGGAAUGAAACAAAACAGAUGUUACAAAAUGAUUGAAGUCGAUUAUGUAUAAUGUACCAGAUCAGUUACAGCAGCCGUCCAGGUUUUUUGCUUCGUGGAGUCUUGUGGAGCACUCUUGGAGCGGAAUGAUAACGGAUAUUUCCAUUACAUUCUCUGUUGCGCUGUCAUUUGCGAAGUUCAGAAUCACUUCCUCCUGCGUCCAACGCCCACAGUUCAUGUCCUCGAGAAUAAGACACGGCGGCAUGGGAAGAGCUGACCAAACUGCAUUCCACCGGUUGCGUCUUGAUGCAGUGAACUCUAAUUCUGCAUGGCCCUCAGUUUUCUAUUCGUUUUGCCUGCUGUCAGUGGUUAUAGGAGGUACACACCGAAGAUGUUUUUGCAAAGCGAUCUCUGUGAUAACGACGCUUUGCGGAGGCGGCUGAAUUCUUUGGUUGUGAUGUUACAUCGGAGGUGGAGACGUAGAAAUCCAAAGGGUAUGAAGAAAUUGAUCUUUGUAACGACGAGGCGUUAUGAUGAUGAUGAUGGCGGUGAUGUUCAUUAUGAUGAUAAUUAUUGAUGUUCGUGGUGCGGUCGGAACAUCUAUCUCAUCUUUCAAGUGGACAGGAAACGAGAAGGGGAAAUUGCCCCAAGGAGACGCGUUGUGUUUCCUGAAUAUAUUAAUCCCAUUUAUAAUUAUCUAUGGGACUCUACACCUCCGCAUCAUUGUCGCAAUACAAUCUUCUAAUUAAACAUAUUUCAGAUCAAGGUUUAGUGCUCUGUAAUGCAUAUUAUGUUGGAGGGCAUAGUCAUUUUAAUAACACAUACGAAUUCACUUCUGAACAACCAGGCUUAUUGAAUCGAGGUUUGACUAUUUCAAACUUUUUUCCACGGAAGGAUUAGGGCAGAUCGACAUUAAAAUAGAUAAUUUUAAAUACUGAAUAAAAUGCACUCGCUUAUAAAACAUCAUCUGUAAGAAACAACAUUUUUCGUGUAUUGUAGUCAGAUGUGAAGAACAUUGGCUCUACACUGAACUGCUUUUCAUUCUUGAAACAAGAAAUCGACAGCAUCUAAUACCUGAAGAUCGUGUAACCGAUAUAGACGUUCGUUUCGGAGA